rnacentral:snRNA from 1 species
ACGGAACGAGUCGGACAGACCG